rnacentral:rRNA from 1 species
AUUGAACGCUGGCGGCAUGCCUUACACAUGCAAGUCGAACGGUAACGCGGGGCAACCUGGCGACGAGUGGCGAACGGGUGAGUAAUACAUCGGAACGUGCCCAGUAGUGGGGAGUAGCCCGGCGAAAGACCGGAUUAAUACCGCAUACGACCUAUGGGUGGAAAGACGGGGGAGUCGCAAGACCUCGCGCUAUUGGAGCGGCCGAUGUCAGAUUAGGUAGUUGGUGGGGUAAAGACCUACCAAGCCGACGAUCUGUAGCUGGUCUGAGAGGACGACCAGCCACACUGGGAC